AGCAGCCGCGGUAAUUCCAGCUCCAAUAGCGUAUAUUAAAGUUGUUGCAGUUAAAAAGCUCGUAGUUGAAUUUCGGGGUUAGUAGGUUGGUCAUGCCUCUGGUAUGUACUGGUCUCACUGAUUCCUCCUUCCUGAUGAACCUUAAUGCCAUUAAUUUGGUGUUUUGGGGAAUUUGGACUGUUACUUUGAAAAAAUUAGAGUGCUUAAAGCAAGCUAACGCUUGAAUACAUUAGCAUGGAAUAAUGAAAUAGGACGUUCGAUCCUAUUUUGUUGGUUUCUAGGAUUGACGUAAUGAUUAAUAGGGAUAGUUGGGGGCAUUAGUAUUCAAUUGUCAGAGGUGAAAUUCUUGGAUUUAUUGAAGACUAACUACUGCGAAAGCAUUUGCCAAGGAUGUUUUCAUUAAUCAAGAACGAAAGUUAGGGGAUCGAAGACGAUCAGAUACCGUCGUAGUCUUAACCAUAAACUAUGCCGACUAGGGAUCGGAUGAUGUUAAUUUUUAUGACUCAUUCGGCGCCUUACG
rnacentral:rRNA from 1 species